rnacentral:rRNA from 1 species
AGAGUUUGAUCAUGGCUCAGAUUGAACGCUGGCGGCAGGCCUAACACAUGCAAGUCGAACGGUAACAGGAAGCAGCUUGCUGCUUCGCUGACGAGUGGCGGACGGGUGAGUAAUGUCUGGGAAGCUGCCUGAUGGAGGGGGAUAACUACUGGAAACGGUAGCUAAUACCGCAUAAUGUCGCAAGACCAAAGAGGGGGACCUUCGGGCCUCUUGCCAUCGGAUGUGCCCAGAUGGGAUUAGCUUGUUGGUGGGGUAACGGCUCACCAAGGCGACGAUCCCUAGCUGGUCUGAGAGGAUGACCAGCCACACUGGAACUGAGACACGGUCCAGACUCCUACGGGAGGCAGCAGUGGGGAAUAUUGCACAAUGGGCGCAAGCCUGAUGCAGCCAUGCCACGUGUAUGAAGAAGGCCUUCGGGUUGUAAAGUACUUUCAGCGGGGAGGAAGGGAGUAAAGUUAAUACCUUUGCUCAUUGACGUUACCCGCAGAAGAAGCACCGGCUAACUCCGUGCCAGCAGCCGCGGUAAUACGGAGGGUGCAAGCGUUAAUCGGAAUUACUGGGCGUAAAGCGCACGCAGGCGGUUUGUUAAGUCAGAUGUGAAAUCCCCGGGCUCAACCUGGGAACUGCAUCUGAUACUGGCAAGCUUGAGUCUCGUAGAGGGGGGUAGAAUUCCAGGUGUAGCGGUGAAAUGCGUAGAGAUCUGGAGGAAUACCGGUGGCGAAGGCGGCCCCCUGGACGAAGACUGACGCUCAGGUGCGAAAGCGUGGGGAGCAAACAGGAUUAGAUACCCUGGUAGUCCACGCCGUAAACGGUGUCGACUUGGAGGUUGUGCCCUUGAGGCGUGGCUUCCGGAGCUAACGCGUUAAGUCGACCGCCUGGGGAGUACGGCCGCGAGGUUAAAACUCAAAUGAAUUGACGGGGGCCCGCACAAGCGGUGGAGCAUGUGGUUUAAUUCGAUGCAACGCGAAGAACCUUACCUGGUCUUGACAUCCACGGAAGUUUUCAGAGAUGAGAAUGUGCCUUCGGGAACCGUGAGACAGGUGCUGCAUGGCUGUCGUCAGCUCGUGUUGUGAAAUGUUGGGUUAAGUCCCGCAACGAGCGCAACCCUUAUCCUUUGUUGCCAGCGGUCCGGCCGGGAACUCAAAGGAGACUGCCAGUGAUAAACUGGAGGAAGGUGGGGAUGACGUCAAGUCAUCAUGGCCCUUACGACCAGGGCUACACACGUGCUACAAUGGCGCAUACAAAGAGAAGCGACCUCGCGAGAGCAAGCGGACCUCAUAAAGUGCGUCGUAGUCCGGAUUGGAGUCUGCAACUCGACUCCAUGAAGUCGGAAUCGCUAGUAAUCGUGGAUCAGAAUGCCAUGGUGAAUACGUUCCCGGGCCUUGUACACACCGCCCGUCACACCAUGGGAGUGGGUUGCAAAAGAAGUAGGUAGCUUAACCUUCGGGAGGGCGCUUACCACUUUGUGAUUCAUGACUGGGGUGAAGUCGGAACAAGGUA